rnacentral:rRNA from 1 species
CGUAACAAGGUCUCCGUAGGUGAACCUGCGGAGGGAUCAUUACACAAAUAUGAAGGCGGGCUGGAACCUCUCGGGGUUACAGCCUUGCUGAAUUAUUCACCCUUGUCUUUUGCGUACUUCUUGUUUCCUUGGUGGGUUCGCCCACCACUAGGACAAACAUAAACCUUUUGUAAUUGCAAUCUGCGUCAGUAACAAAUUAAUAAUUACAACUUUCAACAACGGAUCUCUUGGUUCUGGCAUCGAUGAAGAACGCAGCGAAAUGCGAUAAGUAGUGUGAAUUGCAGAAUUCAGUGAAUCAUCGAAUCUUUGAACGCACAUUGCGCCCUUUGGUAUUCCAAAGGGCAUGCCUGUUCGAGCGUCAUUUGUACCCUCAAGCUUUGCUUGGUGUUGGGCGUCUUGUCUCUAGCUUUGCUGGAGACUCGCCUUAAAGUAAUUGGCAGCCGGCCUACUGGUUUCGGAGCGCAGCACAAGUCGCACUCUCUAUCAGCAAAGGUCUAGCAUCCAUUAAGCCUUUUUUUCAACUUUUGACCUCGGAUCUGGUAGGGAUACCCGCUGAACUUAAGCAUAUCA